GAGCUUGAUACCACAGCAACAAUAUUGGCUAACCGGCAAGAUGAAAGUGAGCAGUCUAGGAAAAAACUUAUUGAGCAAAGUCGCGAGUUCAAGAAAAACACUCCAGAGGACCUGCGCAAACAGGUAGCUCCGUUACUGAAGAGUUUCCA